rnacentral:rRNA from 2 species
AUGAGAGUUUGAUCCUGGCUCAGGAUGAACGCUGGCGGCGUGCCUAAUACAUGCAAGUCGAACGAGUUCUCGUUGAUGAUCGGUGCUUGCACCGAGAUUCAACAUGGAACGAGUGGCGGACGGGUGAGUAACACGUGGGUAACCUGCCCUUAAGUGGGGGAUAACAUUUGGAAACAGAUGCUAAUACCGCAUAGAUCCAAGAACCGCAUGGUUCUUGGCUGAAAGAUGGCGUAAGCUAUCGCUUUUGGAUGGACCCGCGGCGUAUUAGCUAGUUGGUGAGGUAAUGGCUCACCAAGGCGAUGAUACGUAGCCGAACUGAGAGGUUGAUCGGCCACAUUGGGACUGAGACACGGCCCAAACUCCUACGGGAGGCAGCAGUAGGGAAUCUUCCACAAUGGACGCAAGUCUGAUGGAGCAACGCCGCGUGAGUGAAGAAGGCUUUCGGGUCGUAAAACUCUGUUGUUGGAGAAGAAUGGUCGGCAGAGUAACUGUUGUCGGCGUGACGGUAUCCAACCAGAAAGCCACGGCUAACUACGUGCCAGCAGCCGCGGUAAUACGUAGGUGGCAAGCGU